rnacentral:rRNA from 1 species
CCCGCUGAAUUUAAGCAUAUAAGUAAGCGGAGGAAAAGGAACUAAGUAGGAUUCCCUCAGUAAUGGCGAAUGAACAGGGAUGAGCUCAGGCUGGAAACCGAUACAUCUGUGUCGGGCUGUAGCCUGCAGGCAUAGCGCUAUCGGCGGCUCGAGCGCAAGCCUCUUGGAAUAGAGCGUGUGCCCGGGUGAGAAUCCGGCAUUUCGCUCGAUGUCCGCUGUCCACAGUGCUUGUCCUGAGAGUCACGCUCCUCGGAAUUGGAGCGUAAAUCAGGUGGUAAGUUUCAUCCAAAGCUAAAUAGAAGCUCGAGACCAAUAGCAAACAAGUACCAUGAGGGAAAGAUGAAAAGGACUUUGGAAAGAGAGUUAAAAGUGUUUGAAAUUGCUGAUAGCAAAGCGAACGGAGCCACAUGUCGUGCUGAGAUUGCUGUGGGUCUUUGUGAGCCUUGAGCAUGUAAGCGCAAGCUGACUGCUUAUGUGUGAGCAUUUGCCCGCAGUGUUUCUCAGCAUGCGAGUCAUUAGCCACAUUUGUUUGAGGAUGGCCUUCAGCUCACAUGGUACACUUGUUAGUGUUCCUCUGUGCGGUGUGGGACUCAGACAGGUGUGGCUUGUUGACCCAGUGGUUUUUUUCGACCCGUCUUGAAACACGGACCA